rnacentral:rRNA from 1 species
CCUACGGGUGGCAGCAGUGUGGAAUAUUGCACAAUGGGGGAAACCCUGAUGCAGCGACGCCGCGUGAGUGAAGACGUAUUUCGGUAUUUAAAGCUCUAUUAGCAGGGAAGAAAAUGACGGUACCUGAUUAAGAAGCCCCGGCUAACUACGUGCCAGCAGCCGCGGUAAUACGUAGGGGGCAAGCGUUAUCCGGAUUUACUGGGGGUAAAGGGAGCGUAGACGGCAGCACAAGUCUGGAGUGAAAUGCCGGGGCUUAACCCCGGAACUGCUUUGGAAACUGUGCAGCGAGAGUGCAGGAGGGGUAGGUGGAAGUCCUGGUGUAGCGGUGAAAUGCGUAGAUAUUAGGAAGAACACCAGUGGCGAAGGCGGCUUACUGGACUGUAACUGACGUUGAGGCUCGAAAGCGUGGGGAGCAAACAGGAUUAGAUACCCGUGUAGUC